UACGUAGGGGGCAAGCGUUGUCCGGAUUUACUGGGCGUAAAGAGCGUGUAGGCGGCCAGGCAGGUCUGUUGUGAAAACUGGAGGCUCAACUUCCAGACGUCGACAGAAACCGCUUGGCUAGAGUCCGGAAGAGGUGAGUGGAAUUCCUAGUGUAGAGGUGAAAUUCGUAGAUAUUAGGAAGAACACCAGUGGCGAAGGCGGCUCACUGGUCCGGUACUGACGCUGAGGUGCGAAAGCGUGGGGAGCAAACAGG
rnacentral:rRNA from 1 species